rnacentral:rRNA from 1 species
UAUAGGACUCAUACUCCUAUUUAAGAAAUCUCUGAUAAUUUGUUAUUAUAGGGUUUUUAAGCAGGUGGCUAAUAUUAUAGUUAAAGAUUGUGGUGAAACUAUAUUGAAGUGGUAUUUUAUUAGUGUAAAAUAAGAGGUGCUAAGAGUCUAGUUAAAGUUGUGCCAGCGGCUGCGGUUAUUCAGCUAGAGAGCUUAACGGAGCUAUUUAAAGGGAUUAUUUGGGUCUUGUAGUGGUGAAAUAUGGUCAAGGCUCAUAAAUUAAGGUAGGGUUUAAGGGUGAAGCAGAUUAGAUACCUGUGUAACUUACUUAUAUUAAAUAUGUGGGGAAGAUCUAAGAGAUAUGGCGGUGCUCUUGAUAGGUAGGGGGACUUGAGUGGGAUAAUAAACCUAGAGAAACUAAUUUUGUUGACCGCUUGUAUGAUUGAAUACCCUUUAAAAGGGGUGAUUCAAAUUCCAUAAGGGUUGGAAGGGGAAGCUUGAGUUUUGUAUUUAUUAAAGAUAAAGGAUUUGCGAGUAGCUGAGUAGAAGUGAACGCAUCAAGGGUGAGUACAUAUCGCCCGUCAAUACCUUAAAGGUAUAAGUCGUAACAUAGUGAUCCUACUUGAAAUUGGGAUU